AUGAACGCUGGCGGCGUGCCUAAUCCAUGCAAGUCGAGCGAACAGAUCAGGAGCUUGCUCCUUUGACGUUAGCGGCGGACGGGUGAGUAACACGUGGGUAACCUACCUAUAAGACUGGGAUAACUUCGGGAAACCGGAGCUAAUACCGGAUAACAUUUGGAACCGCAUGGUUCUAAAGUGAAAGAUGGUUUUGCUAUCACUUAUAGAUGGACCCGCGCCGUAUUAGCUAGUUGGUAAGGUAACGGCUUACCAAGGCAACGAUACGUAGCCGACCUGAGAGGGGGAAGGGCCACACAGGAAAUCAGAACCGGCCCAGAACCCCACGGGGGGCAGCGGGAGGGAGUUUGCCGAAAGGGGGGAAAGCCUGAAGGAGAAACGCCGGGGGAGUGAAGAAGGGUUUCGGCCCGUAAACCUCUGUUAUUAAGGAAGAAAAAACGUGUAAGUAACUGUCCACGUCUGGGCGGUACCAAAGCAGAAAGCCACGGCCAACUCCGU
rnacentral:rRNA from 1 species